rnacentral:rRNA from 1 species
GACGAACGCUGGCGGCGUGCCUAAUACAUGCAAGUCGAGCGGACCAAAGGGAGCUUGCUCCUGGAGGUUAGCGGCGAACGGGUGAGUAACACGUGGGCAACCUGCCUGUAAGACUGGGAUAACAUCGAGAAAUCGGUGCUAAUACCGGAUAAUAAAAAGAACUGCAUGGUUCUUUUUGAAGAUGGUUUCGGCCAUCACUUACAGAUGGGCCGCGGCGCAUUAGCUAGUUGGUGAGGUAACGGCUCACCAAGGCGACGACUGCGUAGCCGACCUGAGAGGGUGAUCGGCCACACUGGGACUGAGACACGGCCCAGACUCCUACGGGAGGCAGCAGUAGGGAAUCUUCCGCAAUGGACGAAAGUCUGACGGAGCAACGCCGCGUGAGUGAUGAAGGUUUUCGGAUCGUAAAACUCUGUUGUUAGGGAAGAACAAGUGCCGUUCGAAAGGGCGGCACCUUGACGGUACCUAACGAGAAAGCCACGGCUAACUACGUGCCAGCAGCCG